GCACAAGCGGCGGAGCAUGCGGAUUAAUUCGAUGCAACGCGAAGAACUUACCAAGGCUUGACAUACACCGGUAACGCCCAGAGAUGGGUGCCCCUUUGUGGUCGGUGUACAGGUGGUGCAUGGUUGUCGUCAGCUCGUGUCGUGAGAUGUUGGGUUAAGUCCCGCAACGAGCGCAACCCUCGUCCUAUGUUGCCAGCGGGUCAUGCCGGGGACUCAUGGGAGACUGCCGGGGUCAACUCGGAGGAAGGUGGGGAUGACGUCAAAUCAUCAUGCCCCUUAUGUCUUGGGCUUCACGCAUGCUACAAUGGCCGGUACAAAGGGCUGCGAUACCGCGAGGUGGAGCGAAUCCCAGAAAGCCGGUCUCAGUUCGGAUUGGGGUCUGCAACUCGACCCCAUGAAGUCGGAGUCGCUAGUAAUCGCAGAUCAGCAACGCUGCGGUGAAUACGUUCCCGGGCCUU
rnacentral:rRNA from 1 species